rnacentral:lncRNA from 1 species
CUGCAGAAUAUUCCUGAAUCAUCUUGUCUACCAUAUAAAUUCCUGAUUGAUGGUGAUCGUAGUAAUCAUCUUCACCGUCGUCAACAUCUUCAAUUGAGUGCAUAGCAUUGACAAGGGGUCCUGGGAAUCCUCAAGCAUCUGUGGACUACACUUUGAGAACCAGAAGUGCGGCAGUAGAGGAGAUCAUCAAAUAAUCCAUUUACCCAUCUAGACCAGCAUCAACUACUGGAUAGCCAUCAGCCCAGCUCUAUAUAAAGCAAGUCAUUCCAGGACAUUUUAAUUUCUUUCUUUGAUAAAAAAAUAGGCCAAGGAGUUAAGAGAAUAACUACCAUUGUAAUAAAAUCACUUUGAAACUGUUUAAAAGUCUUGUU